ACCCAGUUCGGUCAAAACCUAACCAAAUGGUGAUGCACUACUUCGAUAGGGAUACACUGAAUGGCAUAUUCUUUCACAAUACAAUUUCGAGUUUGUGUUCACAAACAUAUAGUAUAAUCAGGGCCUGCCAAGGUGUGGCAUCAUGCCCAAAGCAUGAUCCUUGGUACAUAAAACCUAAAACUUCAAGAAUAAGGGAUAAUAUUCUCGAACCUCAACCUUGCAAGAAUCUACUCCCGUCUUGAUGGAAUAGAUCAUUGGUUAUGCACCUGUUCGUGCCCCUACCAAUGUUGUUGAGGAGUACCAUUCUAGUAGUCAAUAUGUGAGAUUGAUUUUGCUCCACCGAACAUCGUUGGCAGAGCAAAAUUUUGACAUGGAUGGCCUUAUUGGCCGAAUCCCCUUAGUAAAUUUACUUUGUGAACAUUUUUCCAUGUUCUUGGAUUCAAGUUUGGUGUAUGUUUUACUUAUGGAUAAUCUUAUUGAUAUUGUCCUCGACUAUGAGUUAAUUGAAUCAUGUUUCUUAAUACAUGUGACCGAUUCAAUUAAACACGUGAUUAGGUAGGAAUGUAGGAAAGUUAGUUGUCUGGAUGAAUGCGUACUACGCACACUAACUUUACACCUAAAUCACAUCUCUAACAACGACUUCAGGUCUAUCCAACCUGAUUAAGAGCAUUGGCACGCUCCUCGUUGUAUGAAUGAUACUGAAUUAUCAUUUAAAAGACCUUAAAUUCUUCCUGACGUUGAGUUUUUAAGGAUAUUCGAGAUGACAAUGAUCAUAAAUGAAACCACUGAAGAAAAUAGA
rnacentral:lncRNA from 1 species